CGGGGCUGCGAAGGAAGCCGCCGGUGACAGCCGGCGGGCGCGACAGGUGAAGGCGCGGUGGCUGUGGCUGCUGCUUUUGUUUCCCGAAUGGAAACAGUUUUUGCUUGGCCCCGUGUGCGUGCAGGGGCACGGUCUUAGUGGGAUGCAUUUUCACGGACGCAGACACGGUUUCUGUGAAAGCGCGUGAAGGGAGCGGAAUGACAGCGCACGGAAGACCUUUCUGGAAGCCUGGCUUUGUCAACCAGAAUCAGCCAGCCCGUGUAAACCAAAGGUCACCUUUAUCUGAGCUGGUAUUCGCUGGUGUGCCUGAAAGAUUCUGAGACAAAAUAAACUUAGGCAGGAACAACCAAGGAGAACUGAAGGAAAUGAUUCUUUCCCCAGAGGUAAUAGAAGAGGGGGAAGAUGUGAUGUCAGAAGGCUUCAAGUUGAGAGUCCUGAAAGGAAAAGGCUGUCAUUUAAAGCAGCCAUAGACGGUGUUUGGUUUGACACAGCUAAGAAGACAGGCUGGAGAGAGCAUCUGCUAUGCCGAUGCUCACAGCACACCGCGCUGACCUUCUGUAGCAACCAGAGCCAGGAAAUCCUUGGUGACUGCAGCUUCUGUUGUGAAAUGCAGACUUUGAGACAGAAGAUUCACAAAGAGCGCGCUGCGUCUGGUACAGAGAAGCGUUCACGUGUCCUCAAGAAACUGGACUACGGAGCAGACGUGGAAGGGUGCGAGCAGGAGUCAGACCUCAGGCCCUUUUCUUCACCGAGCGAAGACGCAGGAGCACUGACGGCUGUGUGGAGUUUAUUUUUAGCUGACAACCAUCCUGAUUGUGCUUUGUGGCUCACGCAUCCGGGAAGUCCCGAGGCGGUCUGUUAUUCUCCCCAUCCUGCAGGUGAGGGAGCUGGGAGGUCCUUGGACCCUUGGGGCAGCUGGAACACCAGCACCAGCGAUGCAGUGGCCCGCGACUGCCUGGAGCACUUCUCCCAGCCCAGGAGCCUGGGGGGUUCAGGAAGAGGGCGGCUGCCACUCGGCCGUGUGAAGACCACCCCCUGACUCACUGGCCCCGUUUUCUGACAUUCCACCACCCCAUCGGGCUGGGUCCUGGGUCCUCUCACUUGGGGUCCUCAUGGCCCUAGACCUAGGUGGACAUAGCAGCUUCUCCCUUCCUGGACGACACUCACUGGAGGCCUCUACUGACUCCUGCUGGGCCCCUUCCCUAGGUUCCUCAAGUGGACACAUCCCUCUCCUUGUCCAGGCGACUCCCAGCAAGGCCUCUGCCCACUCCUGACAAUGGAUACGUCCCGCAGCUCCUGGGCUCCAUCUCUCCCUCUGAAAAACCAAAGUAGUCAUCACCACUCCCAGAAUGCUGCAGGGGACGUGACUCCAGUGCCCGCUCUCCGGGGGGCCUCUGUCCAGCUGCCUGCAUCUGCUCAUCCCCUGUCAGGGCUCCCCCACGCCUGGCCCCAGGUCACAUGUCCGUCCUCUCGAGGUGAGGGCCUUCUCUGGUGAAAUGUCCUCUCCAUCAGCAUCCACAUCCUCUCCAGGCCUUGCUGUAGACAGCAGGAGCAGGAGCCCAGGAGGACCGAGUGAAGGCCCAGCACAGGGCAGGCCCAACGCAUCUCUGAGAGAUCUCAGGGGCGAGACGCCCUGGGGUAACUGAGUCCUGCCACUGGCACCCAAGUUUGGGGCCUACCACAAAAUGAAAAUGCGGGUUUCCCGUUCAAUAACUAUUACGAUUACAAGAUGGAGACAGCAGAGGAUUAAACCAUGUCCAGGGCCCUUCUAAGCGUGGGCUACCUGAGAAUUGGGGUUCCCAAAGAAGAGUCAGGGCGGUCUCCUGGGCAGUGACCAAGGCUGUGUCUCAGUACUGCCACCGGCUGGCCACUUUGAGUCACUGCACCUCCCUUCAGAGACGCACCUUGGGGCACGGAGGGAGGGAGGGGUUUGGCCAAGGCCAGGUGACCAAGCCCUCCUCUCACUGAAGAGAAAAAACAGCCAGAGUGGGGUAGGGGGUGACACCUGUCACAGCACCCUAGGGAUGAUGGUGGCACUGAAAUUUCUUCUGUUCUUUACUACCCCACAAAGGAGCUGAUGCCCCGCAGACAAGGAGAGAGAUUAGGAAUGUGAGCUUGCUGGCUUCUGCAGCUGCCUCUGUGCCCCUUGCUGCUGUCUGGGCGCUUUCCUGGCUAAUUUCAGGUACCCAUGGGCUCAAGUGCUGACCUCCUGGCCUGGUGCGAGGGCAGGAGCCAAGGCCCAGCAGGUGAGUGAUCCCAGGCUACUGGGUGGGCCUAGAACCCAAGGACGGAGAGCGCACGUCUCCUUGGCUGGGACUUGUGCAAAGAUGUUUCCAGCUCCCUGUGGACUCCCGAUGUGAAGACAUGAGGCCCACUAUCUGACUCACAGCACGAGGGACAUGCCACCAGGCUGGCUGGGCACA